AAGAAAAUAUAUUGUAGCUUUUACGAGAUAACCGCAAUUCUGGUAAAAUUUGGUCGCCAAAUAACAGCGGGAAUCGAUUUCAUAAUAUCAUGUGGGAAUUUUAGCGA